rnacentral:rRNA from 1 species
AACGAACGCUGGCGGCGUGGAUUAGGCAUGCAAGUCGUGCGAGAACGGGAACUUCGGUUCCUUAGUAAAGCGGCGAACUGGUGAGUAAUGGGUGGGUAACGUGCCCUGAAGUCGGGAAUAACGUCGAGAAAUCGGCGCUAAUGCCGGAUGUGAUCGAAAGAGCCCUGGCUUUUUCGGUUAAAGCAGCGAUGCGCUUCGGGAUCGGCCCGCCUCCGAUUAGCUAGUUGGUAAGGUAAUGGCUUACCAAGGCGACGAUCGGUAGCUGGUCUGAGAGGAUGGUCAGCCACACUGGGACUGAGAUACGGCCCAGACUCCUACGGGGGGCAGCAGUCUAGAGGCUUCGUCAAUGGGGGAAACCCUGAACGAGCGACGCCGCGUGUGGGAUUGAAGGCUUUCGAGUCGUAAACCACUGUCAUGAGGGAAGAAUGCCCCGAUGGCGAAUCGGGGAGAGACGGUACCUUAAGAGGAAGCCCCGGCUAACUCCGUGCCAGCAGCCGCGGUAAUACGGAGGGGGCAAGCGUUGUUCGGAUUUACUGGGCGUAAAGGGCGUGUAGGCGGUUAUGCAAGUCUGGCGUGAAAUCUUCACCGCUCAACGGGAAGGGGUCGCUGGAAACUGCGUGACUUGAGUAUGGUAGAGGCAAGCGGAAUUCCUGGUGUAGCGGUGGAAUGUGUAGAUAUCAGGAAGAACAUCUGUGGCGAAGGCGGCUUGCUGGGCCAUCACUGACGCUGAGACACGAAAGCAUGGGGAGCAAACAGGCUUAGAUACCCUGGUAGUCCAUGCUGUAAACGGUGCGCACUAGGUGUGGGAGGUAUCGACCCCUCCUGUGCCGUAGCUAACGCAUUAAGUGCGCCGCCUGGGGAGUACGGCCGCAAGGUUGAAACUCAAAGGAAUUGACGGGGGCCCGCACAAGCGGUGGAGGAUGUUGUUUAAUUCGACGCAACGCGAAGAACCUUACCUGGGCUUGAACCGCGGACUAAACUAGUGGAAACAUUAGGUGUGGCAACACGAGUCCGUAGAGGUGCUGCAUGGCUGUCGUCAGCUCGUGUCGUGAGAUGUUGGGUUAAGUCCCGCAACGAGCGCAACCCUUGUCGUUAGUUACCAGCGAGUUAUGUCGGGGACUCUAACGAGACUGCCGGUGACAAACCGGAGGAAGGUGGGGAUGAUGUCAAGUCAGCACGGCCCUUACGUCCGGGGCUACACACGUGUUACAAUGGGUGGGACAGUAGGUUGCUACUUAGUGAUAAGAUGCUAAUCCUUCAAACCCACUCCCAGUUCGGAUCGAAGUCUGCAACCCGACUUCGUGAAGCUGGAUUCGCUAGUAAUCGCGCAUCAGCCAUGGCGCGGUGAAUACGUUCCCGGGCCUUGUACACACCGCCCGUCAAGCCAUGGAAGCCGGGGGUACCUGAAGUUCGUAACCGUUAAGGAUCGACCUAGGGUAAAACUGGUAACUGGGGCU